rnacentral:lncRNA from 1 species
UUGGCUGCAGUGUGGCAGGGAACAUCACUAUAUCAUCGUCCCGGAGCAAAGUCCUCGUGUUCCCAGAGUACUCCAACAAAUAGUGGGAACGUGAAGGAAACCAAACAUGGACUCAGCAGCUCCCCCAGUGGCAGGACAUGCACUCCUGGCUAUAAUACACUGCGGAGAAAUUCAGCUGCUCUUCUUCCCUAUGAGGGCAUUAUAGAUUCACAAAAACACGAAGUCAAUAUAUAUACUAACCCAACAGUACCAUCUCUUAAUCCACCACAAGCAAA